UACAGGGGGUGCUAACGUUGUUCGGAAUUACUGGGCGUAAAGCGCGCGUAGGCCGCUAUACAAGUCAGGUGUGAAAUCUCGGGGCUUAACUCCGAAAGUGCACUUGAAACUGUAUGGCUAGAGUACAGUAGAGGUUGGUGGAAUUCCCAGUGUAGAGGUGAAAUUCGUAGAUAUUGGGAGGAACACCGGUGGCGAAGGCGGCCAACUGGGCUGUAACUGACGCUGAGACGCGAAAGCGUGGGGAGCGAACAGG
rnacentral:rRNA from 1 species